rnacentral:rRNA from 1 species
GGUAGUCCACGCCGUAAACGAUGUCGACUUGGAGGUUGUUCCCUUGAGGAGUGGCUUCCGGAGCUAACGCGUUAAGUCGACCGCCUGGGGAGUACGGCCGCAAAGUUAAAACUCAAAUGAAUUGACGGGGGCCCGCACAAGCGGUGGAGCAUGUGGUUUAAUUCGAUGCAACGCGAAGAACCUUACCUACUCUUGACAUCCAGAGAACUUAGCAGAGAUGCUUUGGUGCCUUCGGGAACUCUGAGACAGGUGCUGCAUGGCUGUCGUCAGCUCGUGUUGUGAAAUGUUGGGUUAAGUCCCGCAACGAGCGCAACCCUUAUCCUUUGUUGCCAGCGGUUAGGCCGGGAACUCAAAGGAGACUGCCAGUGAUAAACUGGAGGAAGGUGGGGAUGACGUCAAGUCAUCAUGGCCCUUACGAGUAGGGCUACACACGUGCUACAAUGGCGCAUACAAAGAGAAGCGACCUCGCGAGAGCAAGCGGACCUCAUAAAGUGCGUCGUAGUCCGGAUUGGAGUCUGCAACUCGACUCCAUGAAGUCGGAAUCGCUAGUAAUCGUAGAUCAGAAUGCUACGGUGAAUACGUUCCCGGGCCUUGUACACACCGCCCGUCACACCAUGGGAGUGGGUUGCAAAAGAAGUAGGUAGCUUAACCUUCGGGAGGGCGCUUACCACUUUGUGAUUCAUGACUGGGG